rnacentral:rRNA from 1 species
AACGAACGCUGGCGGCAUGCUUAACACAUACAAGUCGAACGAGACCUUCGGGUCUAGUGGCGCACGGGUGCGUAACGCGUGGGAAUCUGCCCUUUGCUACGGAAUAACUCAGAGAAAUUUGUGCUAAUACCGUAUAAUGUCGAAAGACCAAAGAUUUAUCGGAAAAGGAUGAGCCCGCGUAGGAUUAGCUAGUUGGUGAGGUAAAGGCUCACCAAGGCGACGAUCCUUAGCUGGUCUGAGAGGAUGAUCAGCCACACUGGGACUGAGACACGGCCCAGACUCCUACGGGAGGCAGCAGUGGGGAAUAUUGGACAAUGGGCGAAAGCCUGAUCCAGCAAUGCCGCGUGAGUGAUGAAGGCCUUAGGGUUGUAAAGCUCUUUUACCAGGGAUGAUAAUGACAGUACCUGGAGAAUAAGCUCCGGCUAACUCCGUGCCAGCAGCCGCGGUAA